GGUGCACGUCUCUCAAGUCGGCGUCUCCGGAACAAAAUGUGAAGAUAAGACCAGCACUAACUGAAUCCUGUUGAUGGCCAGAGAGCAGGACAUGGUGUUAACUGGGCAAGUUAAACAGUCAGAGAUGUACUAUCUUUCUCCAUUCUGUAAAUGUUGGAAAU